rnacentral:rRNA from 1 species
UACAGAGGUCUCAAGCGUUGUUCGGAUUCAUUGGGCGUAAAGGGUGCGUAGGCGGCGCGGUAAGUCCGUUGUGAAAGUCAAAGGCUCAACCUUUGAAAGCCGAUGGAUACUGCAGGGCUAGAGUACGGAAGAGGCGAGUGGAAUUCCGUGGUGUAGCGGUGGAAUGCGCAGAUAUCAGGAGGAACACCAAUAGCGAAGGCAGCUCGCUGGGACGGUACUGACGCUGAGACGCGAAAGCCAGGGGAGCAAACGGG